UACGAAGGGGGCUAGCGUUGUUCGGAAUUACUGGGCGUAAAGGGCGCGUAGGCGGCCGCCUAAGUCAGACGUGAAAUCCCUCGGCUCAACCGGGGAACUGCGUCUGAUACUGGGUGGCUUGAAUUCGGGAGAGGGAUGCGGGAAUUCCGAGGUGUAGCGGUGAAAUGCGCAGAUAAUCAGGAGGAACACCGGUGGCGAAGGCGGAUCUCUGGGCCGAUACU
rnacentral:rRNA from 1 species